UACGUAGGGGGCAAGCGUUAUCCGGAUUUACUGGGUGUAAAGGGAGCGUAGACGGCAGCGCAAGUCUGGAGUGAAAUGCCGGGGCCCAACCCCGGAACUGCUUUGGAAACUGUGCAGCUCGAGUGCAGGAGAGGUAAGCGGAAUUCCUAGUGUAGCGGUGAAAUGCGUAGAUAUUAGGAGGAACACCAGUGGCGAAGGCGGCUUACUGGACUGGAACUGACGUUGAGGCUCGAAAGCGUGGGGAGCAAACAGG
rnacentral:rRNA from 1 species